rnacentral:rRNA from 1 species
AAGCGGAGGAAAAGAAACCAACAGGGAUUGCCUUAGUAGCGGCGAGUGAAGCGGCAAAAGCUCAAAUUUGAAAUCUGGCUCUUUCAGAGUCCGAGUUGUAAUUUGAAGAAGGUAUCUUUGGGUCUGGCUCUUGUCUAUGUUUCUUGGAACAGAACGUCACAGAGGGUGAGAAUCCCGUGCGAUGAGAUGAUCCAGGCCUAUGUAAAGUUCCUUCGAAGAGUCGAGUUGUUUGGGAAUGCAGCUCUAAGUGGGUGGUAAAUUCCAUCUAAAGCUAAAUAUUGGCGAGAGACCGAUAGCGAACAAGUACAGUGAUGGAAAGAUGAAAAGAACUUUGAAAAGAGAGUGAAAAAGUACGUGAAAUUGUUGAAAGGGAAGGGCUUGAGAUCAGACUUGGUAUUUUGUAUGUUACUUCUUCGGGGGUGGCCUCUACAGUUUAUCGGGCCAGCAUCAGUUUGGGCGGUAGGAGAAUUGCGUUGGAAUGUGGCACGGCUUCGGUUGUGUGUUAUAGCCUUCGUCGAUACUGCCAGCCUAGACUGAGGACUGCGGUUUAUACCUAGGAUGU